ensembl:snoRNA
GGCUAGUGAUGAGAUGGCAUAUAUUCUGAAUCUAAAGUUAAUUAAUUUACUUUAGCUCUAGAAUUACUCUGAGACCUU